ensembl:lncRNA
UGCGUACUACAGGGUUCGGUCGCUGAACUACACUUUUUACCACACCCUACACGUCAACAUACCUUUGAUAUAGUAUCGCACAAAAUUACUCUUUUCAGUCUGUUACAUUUGAACUAAGAAGACAAAUCACACAGAGCUUUGCAAUACCGUUUGGUCUAUAUGGUUAUGACUUUAAACAGCCGAAGGAGGUGGUGUUUCAUUUCAAAAUAUGAGGCCAGAUGGACCGUAUUCCUCACCAUAUUAUAUGUAUGGUGCAUUGUUUGUGGAGGUACAACCUCCAUAACACCAACAACACCAAUUUCAACAGCCAGUGAAGUUUGUAUAAUAAGAACUAAAGCAUCUCUUACCACAGCUAUGAUCCUCAAACAAAAUACAUGCAUAGCUGCGACUUUCACAACUACAUCUCCAACAACUACUGAUUCAAUAUCAAUUGCAUCUACAACUGAGGCUCCUACAGAAAAUGUAUCUUCAGCAACAGCUACAGGUCAAACAGCAAUGUCAUUUUCAAUGACAACAGAAACUGGAGCUUUCACAACCACAGAUGUGAUCCCCACAACCACUCUCAUAUUCUCACCAAGUACAAAUGCACCAUCAACAGCAACAAAUGCUGCUUUAACAACAACAGCACCAUCAACAGAAACUGAAGCUUCCACAACCAUAGAUGUCAUUCCCACAACCACACAUAUAUCCUCACCAAGUACAACAAUAGCACCAUCAUCAGAAACCAACGCUUCCACAACCAUAGAGGUGACCCCCACAACCACACUUAUAUCCUCACCAAGUACAACUACACUUUCAACAGUAACAAAUGCUGCUUCAACAACAACAGCACCAUCAACAGAAACUGAAGCUUCCACAACCAUAGAGGUUAUCCCCACAACCACUCUCAUAUCCUCACCAAGUGCAACAACAACAGCACCAUUAACAGAAACUGAAGCUUCCACAACCACUCUCAUUUCCUCACCAAGUACAACUGCACCAUCAACAACAAAUGCUGCUUCAACAACAACAGCACCAUCAACAGAAACUGAGGCUUCCACAACCAUAGAUGUGACCCCCACAACCACUCCCAUAUCCUCACCAAGUACAACUGCACCUUCAACAGCAACAAAUGCUGCUUCAACAACAACAGGACCAUCAACAGAAACUGAGGCUUCCACAACCAUAGAUGUGAUCCCCACAACCACACUUAUAUCCUCACCAAGUACAACUGCACCUUCAACAGCAACAAAUGCUGCUGCUUCAACAACAACAGCACCGUCAACGGAAACUGAAGCUUCCACAACCAUAGAGGUGACCCCCACAACCACUCUCAUAUCAUCACGAAGUACAACAACAACAGCACCAUCAACAGAAACUGAAGCUUCCACAACUACAGAGGUGACCCCCACAACCACUCUCAUAUCAUCACGAAGUACAACAACAACAGCACCAUCUACAGAAACUGAGGCUUCCACAACCACACUCAUGUCUUCACCAAGUACAACUGCACCUUCAACAGUAACAAAUGCUGCUUCAACAACAACAACAGCACCAUCUUUAACAACUGAAGUUUCAACAACUGCAGAUCUGAACCCCACAACCAUGCCUGUAUUCUUUGCAUCUACAGCAACAGAUGAAGUUGCACUGUUUUCGACAACUGAAGCUUCUACAGCUGUGUCCCCCACAAACACUCUUAUAUCCUCAAUAACUGCUCCUAGAACAACUGCUGCUUCAACACCAUCCUCAACCAUUGAAGGUUAUACAACCACAGCUGUGACCUCCACAACCACUGUUAUAUUCUUAGAAACUACAACCACGGCAAAUACUGCUCAAACAACAACAUUUUCAAAAACAAAUGAAGCUUUAACCACCACAGCAGUGAAUCCCACAACUAUGCCUGUAUUCUCAAUACCUACAUCAAAAGAAAAUUCUGCUCCAACAAUAAUUCCACUGUCUUCGACAGCUGAAGCUUCUACUACCAAAGCUGUGAACCCCACAAAAACUCUUAUAUCAUCAGCAACUGCACCUACAACAACAACAAAUGCUGCUACAGCACAAUCUUUGACCACUGAAGGUUAUACAACCACUGCUGUGAACCCCACAACCACUCUUAUUUCUUCAGAAUCUAAAACAACAGCUUCUCCAACAACAUCAUUGUCAACAACAAAUAAAGCUACAACCACCACAGCAGUGAAUCCCACAAUAACGCCUGUAUUCUCAGUACCUGCAGCAACAGAAAAUGCUGCUCCAACAGAGACACCCUUGUCAACAAUUAAAAGUGAAGCUUAUACAACCACAGCUGUGACCCCCACAACCACAAUCAUAUCUUCACCAACUGCGACUGCACAAUCUUCAACAACUGAAGCUUCAACAAUCGCAGCCAGAAACCCCACAACCAUGCCUGUAUUCUCUCUACAUCCAGUGACAGAAAAUGUUGCUCCAACAACAACUCCACGGCCUUCGACAACUGAAGCUUCUACUACCAAAGCUGUGAACCCCACAACCACUCUUAUAUCCUCAGCAACUGCACCUACAACAACAACAAAUGCUGCUACAGCACAAUCUUUGACCACUGAAGGUUAUACAACCACAGCUGUGAACCCCACAACCACUCUUAUUUCUUCAGAAUCUAAAACAACAACUUCUCCAACAACACCAUUGUCAACAACAAAUAAAGCUACAACCACCACAGCAGUGAAUCCCACAAUAACGCCUGUAUUCUCAGUACCUACAGCAACAGAAAAUGCUGCUCCAACAGAGACACCCUUGUCAACAAUUAAAAGUGAAGCUUAUACAACCACAGCUGUGACCCCCACAACCACAAUCAUAUCUUCACCAACUGCAACUGCACAAUCUUCAACAACUGAAGCUUCAACAAUCGCAGCCAGAAACCCCACAACCAUGCCUGUAUUCUCUCUACCUCCAGUGACA